rnacentral:rRNA from 1 species
AACGAACGCUGGCGGCAUGCCUAACACAUGCAAGUCGAACGAUCCCUUCGGGGAUAGUGGCGCACGGGUGCGUAACGCGUGGGAAUCUGCCCUUGGGUUCGGAAUAACAGUGAGAAAUUACUGCUAAUACCGGAUGAUGUCUUCGGACCAAAGAUUUAUCGCCCAGGGAUGAGCCCGCGUAGGAUUAGCUAGUUGGUGGGGUAAUGGCCUACCAAGGCGACGAUCCUUAGCUGGUCUGAGAGGAUGAUCAGCCACACUGGGACUGAGACACGGCCCAGACUCCUACGGGAGGCAGCAGUGGGGAAUAUUGGACAAUGGGCGCAAGCCUGAUCCAGCAAUGCCGCGUGAGUGAUGAAGGCCUUAGGGUUGUAAAGCUCUUUUACCCGGGAUGAUAAUGACAGUACCGGGAGAAUAAGCUCCGGCUAACUCCGUGCCAGCCGCCGCGGUAAAAC